GUGAAGGGAAUUGAGGUGGAUUCGAGUAAUCAAUUUGUUGUAGUGUAGUAGUUCUUGGUUCUUCUCAUGGUCAUGUAAAAAAAAUGCCGAGGCUUUGGCUGGAAGAGAUGGGACAGAAAGAUUAGUAAUCUUUUUAUAUUCAUGCAUCCUUGCAGUUGCGAAAAGAUCUUACGUAUCUGCCCUUAUGAGUAUGGGACCUUCGAGCCUCAUAAGUCCCUGGAUGACGUGUUGUUGAGCAUUACAGUUGGGGACACCUGUAUGAACUGGCUUAAUGGGUUCAUGGAGCACCAGGAGAAGAAUAAAAAACCAGUUAAUCGAUGAGUUUGAAGGU